UCCCUACGGGGGGCAGCAGUGGGGAAUAUUGGACAAUGGGGGCAACCCUGAUCCAGCCAUGCCGCGUGAGUGAUGAAGGCCCUAGGGUUGUAAAGCUCUUUUGUGCGGGAAGAUAAUGACGGUACCGCAAGAAUAAGCCCCGGCUAACUUCGUGCCAGCAGCCGCGGUAAUACGAAGGGGGCUAGCGUUGCUCGGAAUCACUGGGCGUAAAGGGUGCGUAGGCGGGUUUUUAAGUCAGGGGUGAAAUCCUGGAGCUCAACUCCAGAACUGCCUUUGAUACUGAAGAUCUUGAGUCCGGGAGAGGG
rnacentral:rRNA from 1 species